rnacentral:rRNA from 1 species
UGCGUAGGCGGAUUAAUAAGUCAGUGGUGAAAUCUUUCGGCUCAACCGAGAAACUGCCAUCGAUACUGUUAAUCUUGAGUUCGGUUGAGGUAGGCGGAAUGUGUAAUGUAGCGGUGAAAUGCUUAGAUAUUACACAGAACACCAAUUGCGUAGGCAGCUUACUAGACCGACACUGACGCUGAGGCACGAAAGCGUGGGGAGCGAACAGGAUUAGAUCCCCUGGUAGUCC